AUACGGAGGAUGCAAGCGUUAUCCGGAUUUAUUGGGUUUAAAGGGUGCGUAGGCGGUUUGCUAAGCGGGAGGUGAAAUGCCGGCGCUCAACGUCGGAAGUGCCUCCCGAACUGGUGGACUGGAAUGACUCUGUCGUGGGAGGAAUGUGUAGUGUAGCGGUGAAAUGCUUGGAGAUUACACAGAACACCGAUUGCGAAGGCAUCUCAGCAAGGGAUGAUUUACGCUGAGGCACUAAAGCGUGGGGAUCAAACAGGAUUAGAUGCCCUGGUAGGCCACGCAGUAAACGAUGAUGGCUAACCGCUGGUUUUUUCGGAUCAGUGGCCAAGCGAAAGCGAUAAGCCAUCCACCUGGGGAGUACGACCGCAAGGUUGAAACUCAAAGGAAUUGACGGGG
rnacentral:rRNA from 1 species